rnacentral:rRNA from 1 species
UACGUAGGGUGCAAGCGUUAAUCGGAAUUACUGGGCGUAAAGCGUGCGCAGGCGGUGAUGUAAGACCGAUGUGAAAUCCCCGGGCUUAACCUGGAACUGCAUUGGUGACUGCAUUGCUGGAGUAUGGCAGAGGGGGUGGAAUUCCAGCGUGUAGCAGUGAAAUGCGUAGAGAUGUGGAGGAACACCGAUGGCGAAGGCAGCCCCCUGGGCCAAUACUGACGCUCAUGCACGAAAGCGUGGGGAGCAAACAGG